rnacentral:rRNA from 1 species
UUAAGCGACUAAGCGUACACGGUGGAUGCCCUGGCAGUCAGAGGCGAUGAAGGACGUGCUAAUCUGCGAAAAGCGUCGGUAAGGUGAUAUGAACCGUUAUAACCGGCGAUGUCCGAAUGGGGAAACCCAGUGCAAUUCGUUGCACUAUCGUUAACUGAAUACAUAGGUUAACGAGGCGAACCGGGGGAACUGAAACAUCUAAGUACCCCGAGGAAAAGAAAUCAACCGAGAUUCCCCCAGUAGCGGCGAGCGAACGGGGAGCAGCCCAGAGUCUGAAUCAGCUUGUGUGUUAGUGGAACGGUCUGGAAAGUCCGACGGUACAGGGUGAUAGUCCCGUACACCAAAAUGCACAGGNUGUGAACUCGAAGAGUAGGGCGGGACACGUGGUAUCCUGUCUGAAUAUGGGGGGACCAUCCUCCAAGGCUAAAUACUCCUGACUGACCGAUAGUGAACCAGUACCGUGAGGGAAAGGCGAAAAGAACCCCGGCGAGGGGAGUGAAAAAGAACCUGAAACCGUGUACGUACAAGCAGUGGGAGCACCUUCGGGUGUGACUGCGUACCUUUUGUAUAAUGGGUCAGCGACUUAUAUUCUGUAGCAAGGUUAACCGUAUAGGGGAGCCGCAGGGAAACCGAGUCUUAACUGGGCGUUAAGUUGCAGGGUAUAGACCCGAAACCCGGUGAUCUAGCCAUGGGCAGGUUGAAGGUUGGGUAACACUAACUGGAGGACCGAACCGACUAAUGUUGAAAAAUUAGCGGAUGACUUGUGGCUGGGGGUGAAAGGCCAAUCAAACCGGGAGAUAGCUGGUUCUCCCCGAAAGCUAUUUAGGUAGCGCCUCGUGAANUCAUCUUCGGGGGUAGAGCACUGUUUCGGCUAGGGGGUCAUCCCGACUUACCAACCCGAUGCAAACUACGAAUACCGAAGAAUGUUAUCACGGGAGACACACGGCGGGUGCUAACGUCCGUCGUGAAGAGGGAAACAACCCAGACCGCCAGCUAAGGUCCCAAAGUCAUGGUUAAGUGGGAAACGAUGUGGGAAGGCACAGACAGCCAGGAUGUUGGCUUAGAAGCAGCCAUCAUUUAAAGAAAGCGUAAUAGCUCACUGGUCGAGUCGGCCUGCGCGGAAGAUGUAACGGGGCUAAACCAUGCACCGAAGCUGCGGCAGCGACACUAUGUGUUGUUGGGUAGGGGAGCGUUCUGUAAGCCUGCGAAGGUGACCUGUGAGGGUUGCUGGAGGUAUCAGAAGUGCGAAUGCUGACAUAAGUAACGAUAAAGCGGGUGAAAAGCCCGCUCGCCGGAAGACCAAGGGUUCCUGUCCAACGUUAAUCGGGGCAGGGUGAGUCGACCCCUAAGGCGAGGCCGAAAGGCGUAGUCGAUGGGAAACAGGUUAAUAUUCCUGUACUUGGUGUUACUGCGAAGGGGGGACGGAGAAGGCUAUGUUAGCCGGGCGACGGUUGUCCCGGUUUAAGCAUGUAGGCUGGUUGUCCAGGCAAAUCCGGAUAAUCAAGGCUGAGGUGUGAUGACGAGGCACUACGGUGCUGAAGUAACAAAUGCCCUGCUUCCAGGAAAAGCCUCUAAGCAUCAGGUAACAUUAAAUCGUACCCCAAACCGACACAGGUGGUCAGGUAGAGAAUACCAAGGCGCUUGAGAGAACUCGGGUGAAGGAACUAGGCAAAAUGGUGCCGUAACUUCGGGAGAAGGCACGCUGGUGUGUAGGUGAAGNUGGAGCUGAGACCAGUCGAAGAUACCAGCUGGCUGCAACUGUUUAUUAAAAACACAGCACUGUGCAAACACGAAAGUGGACGUAUACGGUGUGACGCCUGCCCGGUGCCGGAAGGUUAAUUGAUGGGGUUAUCCGUAAGGAGAAGCUCUUGAUCGAAGCCCCGGUAAACGGCGGCCGUAACUAUAACGGUCCUAAGGUAGCGAAAUUCCUUGUCGGGUAAGUUCCGACCUGCACGAAUGGCGUAAUGAUGGCCAGGCUGUCUCCACCCGAGACUCAGUGAAAUUGAACUCGCUGUGAAGAUGCAGUGUACCCGCGGCAAGACGGAAAGACCCCGUGAACCUUUACUAUAGCUUGACACUGAACAUUGAGCCUUGAUGUGUAGGAUAGGUGGGAGGCUUUGAAGCGUGGACGCCAGUCUGCGUGGAGCCAACCUUGAAAUACCACCCUUUAAUGUUUGAUGUUCUAACGUUGGCCCCUNACCGGGGUUGCGGACAGUGUCUGGUGGGUAGUUUGACUGGGGCGGUCUCCUCCCAAAGCGUAACGGAGGAGCACGAAGGUUAGCUAAUCCUGGUCGGACAUCAGGAGGUUAGUGCAAUGGCAUAAGCUAGCUUGACUGCGAGCGUGACGGCGCGAGCAGGUGCGAAAGCAGGUCAUAGUGAUCCGGUGGUUCUGAAUGGAAGGGCCAUCGCUCAACGGAUAAAAGGUACUCCGGGGAUAACAGGCUGAUACCGCCCAAGAGUUCAUAUCGACGGCGGUGUUUGGCACCUCGAUGUCGGCUCAUCACAUCCUGGGGCUGAAGUAGGUCCCAAGGGUAUGGCUGUUCGCCAUUUAAAGUGGUACGCGAGCUGGGUUUAGAACGUCGUGAGACAGUUCGGUCCCUAUCUGCCGUGGGCGCUGGAGAAUUGAGGGGGGCUGCUCCUAGUACGAGAGGACCGGAGUGGACGCAUCACUGGUGUUCGGGUUGUCAUGCCAAUGGCACUGCCCGGUAGCUAAAUGCGGAAGAGAUAAGUGCUGAAAGCAUCUAAGCACGAAACUUGCCCCGAGAUGAGUUCUCCCUGAGACUUUAAGUCUCCUGAAGGAACGUUGAAGACGACGACGUUGAUAGGCCGGGUGUGUAAGCGCAGCGAUGCGUUGAGCUAACCGGUACUAAUGAACCGUGAGGCUUAACCUU